AUGUUUACAUAUCACUGAUUCACUUUGUUGCGCAGCAGAAACUGGCACAACAUGUAAAGCAAUUAUACUUCAAUAAAAAAAAUAAUAAAUGUUUAAAAGGUCCUUAUAGUAAAAAAAAAUCUGGAAAACAUAUUUCCAUCUGAAAGCCCUGAGAUUUGAAAAGAGUAGCUGAGUGCAUGGCCCAUAUGCCUGACCCUAAAUGCUAAUUAGUAGCAAGCCCAGGUGGUACCAAUUCAAUCAGCAUCUCCAUCCCUUGGGCUAAAGGUGACGGUUGUUAGGAGAGGAAUGGACUGGUUGUAUCUGCUCCACAGCAAACAGUGAACACUGCCUCCACCAAGCAAGCUGUGAAUAAGCCUUACAAGAUUCUGCAGGACGGUGGAGUGGAGCUUUAUCUCAACUGUGAAGAAAGCUCUAAGGAUGCAGGUGGACAUACCAAGAAGCUAAUGAGGUUUAAGGUUCAGUGCUCCUGACUUGCAGGACACUUUGUGAGGCAUGAGAAACAGCCUGAAAACAUGUAAAAUCUGUGGAAUUUGUAGGCUUUUGUAAUUUUGAGUUGUAAUUUACUGUGAUUUUUUUCCUGUCUAAAUAAAAACUUGCCCUUA